AGCUUGUCUUGCAAUAUUUACUUUUAAUGUCUGAGAAAAUGUGUUUUAAAAAAGCUACUCAUAGUAUAACUUGUAAUUUACUCUAGAAAUCGUUUUCCCCUCACAGAUCUAGUAAUUUCUGUUCUUUUCUUUGGCACAGGACCUGGAGAUAGUGUACUCCCAUUUACAUGGCAUGGAAGCUUUGUCCAGCUUGAGAGAGCAUCAGCUCAGGUUAAUGUGUGAAACUGUGAGAUAUGAAAGACACGAAGCAAAUGAAGUUUUAUACUAUCCUGAUGAUAUUGGGACCUGCUGGUAUAUCUUGCUGUCUGGUUCCGUGUUCAUUAAGGAAUCCAUGUUCCUUCCAAGAAGCAGUUUUGGCAAGCGUUCUGCAGGAAGCUUUAGGCGAGGCUGUGAGUGCAUUGUCCUAGAGCCUUCUGAAAUGAUUGUGGUGGACUAUAUGGAUGAAAAUGAAGAAUAUUUUCAGCGUCAAGCCUCUCACAGACAGUCUCGAAGAAGAUUUAGAAAAAUCAACCAGAAAGGUGAAAGACAAACAAUUAUUGAUACUGUGGAUCCUUAUCCUAUGGGCAAACCACCCUUGCCUAGAGGCUAUCAUACGGAAUGCACUAAAUCUCAGGUAUUGUAAUUUUUGUGUGGUCUCUCAACACUAACCUAAGUUGAUUUGUGUGUUUGCAUCGUCACUAAUGAGUUUGCGGUGUGUGGUGUGCUUUGCCUCGUCUGUUCUUCUGUAUUCUGCCCUGGUUUAGUAAGGGCUCGAACUUUGAACCCGAGCGUCUCACACAGCAUGGCAGAGGUGGCCGUGUAGUUUUUCCUGUGCAGCAGCCCCCCUCUUCCCUGCUCCUCACAACUCUUGGCCCCUUAUCAUUUGCAAAAGCGCUAUUUCUAUUCUUGCUUCAAUUCUUCAUUUUGCCCAUUUCCCUUCUUUCCUUCACCCUUCUUCUGUCUCUUGUUUCCCUUCCCAUUUGAAAAAUAUCUCCUUACCUCCCAGUAUCUUUUAUUUUGCUCUUUACUUUAAGGUUUGCAUGUGAGAGAGUUUGUGCAGUAGUUAGGGUUAUGUGUCUGAUUAUUUCACUUUACAUUGUGCUCUCAAGGUGCACCCAUUUACCUACGAAGGCCUCAUGUUUUUAGAGGGUUUCUUUAUUUGUACUCAUCUAGAGAUGGCUUGUUCACCUUCUUUGGAGAGAGGAUGUAAGUGUAACCUAUUUUUAAGAAUGAAUGGACCAGGGCCAGGAUUUAGCUCAGUGGCAGCGUGCCUGCCUCGAAAGUGCAAGGUCCUGAGUUUGAUCCCUGGUACCAGAAAAAAAAGAAAAAAGAAUGAAUGGACCAUUGCUCUGCACUAACUUGCACUGCAAAUACACAGAAAAAGACAGGACAGACAAUGGAAUUUUACUGCUUUUUGUGGGAAAGCUUAUGAGAAGUUCAGUAGAAAUUUAGGUUUAAAAUACUAUAGGUAAACACUUUAAAGUUCAGGAAUCCCAAUGUGAGAGAGCAUGUUUAGAAUUCACGGGCAAAUUUUAGUCAGAAAAAAGGGCUUAGGGGCCAAGGAUUUAGCUCAGUGGUUCUGCCGCCUGCCCGGCAAGUGAAAGGACCCGAGUUUGAUCCCUGGUACCAAAAAAAAAAAAAAAAAGAGAAGAAAAAAGGGUCUAGUAAAAAAGAAGACGAGUUUAAAAUCUUAUUUGCACUUCAUUUUUCACCAGAUUUCACGCUUUUUACUUCAGUCUGCAUUUUCAUUACAAGGCCUGUACUAUCCUCGCUCAUUUCUUUCAUGCCAAUGCAUAGUGAACCUGUGCUCUUCAGUGUGAGUCUUGGAAUUGGAUCAGAUUUGGGGUUGUCAGGGAAUUUGAACUUAAGGGCUAAAAACUAGUUUAUCUCUGGAAAUUAGUUGAUUGAGUAACUACCAGGCUUUCAUGGUACCAGAAAAAGAUCAUGAAUAAUUUCAUUCACAUUGAGGAAGUCUGUCAUUAAUAUAUGUUUGGUUAAUAUGUAAUCUUCCUUAAAAGCAUGAACUGUUUGUAUAAUUUUUCAAAUUAAAAUGAAAAACCUCUUUUGUCUUUUACACAAGAGAGUAUGUGUUAACACUCCACAAGUGGCAUGAUCACCAUAUUGUUUUUCAGAAGCCUUGCUAAAUAAUACGGUAAAUUAUUAAAAGUUUAUUUCUUAGUUCUGACAAUUGUAUAUUUUCUAAUAUAAAACUGUAAUUACAUCAACAUUUUGAGCUUGUAUCUGGAAAGAAUAUAUUUUAAAAAUGUAUCAUUUAAUAUUUUAAAAGAUCACUAUAUGAUUGAUCCUUUUUUGGCAUCAAAAAUUGCCAGUCGGCAUUUGAUUUAAAACUUGAAUUUAAAAUAUUCACUAUGAUGUGUACCUUAUGUGUUCUUUGUAAAAUUAGAUGUGUUUCAGUAUUUUAAAACUGAUGAUACUGUUCCUCAGAAGGGUGAACACGCAUAUAGUCCACGUACAGCUUUUCAGGACUUUUGUCAAGUACGGGAGGUUUGCACGGAGAAUAAGCGUUUAACAUGCAGUGAGAAAGGAAGACUGGAGAUGGCCUUCAUUAGCAUUUUCUUACAUUUUGAUGAGUGGAGGUUGCACAUGUACUGCAGAAGGCCCCCAAACCAGAAUGUGGUGUGAAUGUUCAGUCUUCAGGUGAGGGGAUCAGAGAGACAGGAAGCAGACCAGGUUGGGCAGUCAGGGCUCAGAACUAAGGAGAGGGACUGGAGCCUCAGACCAGCAGGAGAUUACCCAUCUCCCCAUUUGCAGUGGGGUAGGACGAGGAGCUUUGUUUCCCUUUCGUUUCUCUUGAAAUCAGCACUCUGCAAUGAAACCCAGGAGAGAGGUGGAGCUGCCAGGAGGGGGGCGGGCCACGGAAGGGCCCUGGGUGGAGUCUGCGGGAANNNNNNNNNNNNNNNNNNNNNNNNNNNNNCUUCCUGCACUUGAACGCGAAACAGCGCUUUUCUUGCCCUGGUUGGAAAGAGCAGCCACUGUGCCGAGUCACUAUGCUGAAAAUGGAAGAAAACCUGUGCUGUUCAAACUGUGGAGGUUACGUGUUCCGCCAAGUAUUUCUAGUCUUCCUGAGCUCGUUGGAACAUUAAAAUGUUCUCCCGCUGUAAAGUCCGAUCGACUCUUUACCCCUUCUUACCUGCCUCCCCCGAAUAGGCCCCCUUUAAACAAAUUUGAACUAGGAUUUGAAUACAGAAUAACAUAAAACAUAUUCAAGAUCUCAAUCAAUGUUGUCUUUUUGAAAUAAUGAAAACCCAUCAGUUGUGUAAAAAGAUACCUACCCAAUAUUUUAUUAAUUGUCCUUUUCUACAAUGGGAAUAUAUACUUCAGAGCACUGUUUAAUAAAUAGGUAUUGAAAUUUUCAGUAGGUUUAAAGUUCUUGGUUGCAGGUAUACAAAGGUAAUAGAAAAUAUUACAUAAAAUUAAUGUAAUGUAAAUUAAAUAGAGUGGAUGCAACAUACUGUAUACAAUGUGAUACCAGUAUAAGAAUGAUUCAUGUAUGGGGCUUUUGAAAAUCAAUCCCUUUUUUAAUAAGGAUAUUUAUGAUAAUAUAAGACAAAUCCUUUUUCUUAUAAAGGCUAUAUAGAUAUAACCAUUCCUAGGAAAUAUAUAACUCUAAAGUGGAGUUUUUAAGCUUUCUCAUAUUUUAAAAUUUAAACUUUAUUUUUAACUGAUAUAUAAAUUUUAUAAAUAUUUCUGUGGUUUCUUAUGUGUGUGUAUUGUGUAAUGAUGAAAUCAGGGUAAACAUCUGUUUCCCUAAAACAUUUAUUUUUUGAGAUUUGUUAUUUUCUGUAAUUAAGGAUUUCUUAGUAGGUUUUGGUUAGUUUCGAA
rnacentral:lncRNA from 1 species